CUUGAGGUAAUAAGUUUUGGGCCGGACUACUUCUUUGACCUCAUACGGGCCUUCCCAGUUUGGGGCGAGCUUCCCUCGAUCCUGAGGUUGCGAGACAGCGGCUCGUCGAAGCACUAGAUCUCCUGCUCUAAAGGCUUUAUUCUUGACCUGAGAAUUGUAAUAGCGGGUGACUUUCUGUCUGUAGGCUGCCAUCCGAACUUGAGCUACCUCUCACUUUUCUUCCAGCAAGUCAAGGUUGGCUUUAAGACCUUGCGAAUUUUGAUGUUCGUUGAAUGCC
rnacentral:lncRNA from 1 species